rnacentral:rRNA from 1 species
AGAGUUUGAUCCUGGCUCAGGAUGAACGCUGGCGGCGUGCCUAACACAUGCAAGUCGUACGAGAAAGGGGCUUCGGCCCUGAGUAGAGUGGCGCACGGGUGAGUAACGCGUGGGUAAUCUACCCUUGGAUUUGGGAUAACUCUGCGAAAGUGGAGCUAAUACCGGAUAGUCUGGCUUUUAGUAGAAGUCGGUAAAGGAUGCCUCUGCAUAUGCAUUCGUCCGAGGAUGAGCCCGCGUCUCAUUAGCUAGUUGGUAGGGUAAUGGCCUACCAAGGCAACGAUGAGUAGCUGGUCUGAGAGGAUGAUCAGCCACACUGGAACUGAAACACGGUCCAGACUCCUACGGGAGGCAGCAGUGGGGAAUAUUGCGCAAUGGGCGAAAGCCUGACGCAGCAACGCCGUGUGAGGGAUGAAGGCUUUCGGGUCGUAAACCUCUGUCGGAAGGGAAGAACGGGCAUUGGUCUAAUAGGCCUUUGUUUUGACGGUACCUUUAGAGGAAGCACCGGCUAACUCCGUGCCAGCAGCCGCGGUAAUA